UGAGGAAUAUUGGACAAUGGGCGCAAGCCUGAUCCAGCCAUGCCGCGUGCAGGAAGAAGCAUCUAUGGUGUGUAAACUGCUUUUGUACGGGAAGAAACACUCCUACGUGUAGGAGCUUGACGGUACCGUAAGAAUAAGGAUCGGCGAACUCCGUGCCAGCAGCCGCGGUACUACGGAGGAUUCAAGAGUUAUCCGGAAUCAUUGGGUUUAAAGGGUCCGUAGGCGGUUUAAUAAGUCAGUGGUGAAAGCCCAUCGCUCAACGAUGUAACGGCUAUUGAUACUAUUAGACUUGAAUUACAAUGAAGUGACUAGAAGAUGUAGUGUAGCGGUGAAAUGCUUAGAUAUUACAUGGAAUACCAAUUGCGAAGGCAGGUUACUACUUGUGGAGUGGCGCAGAUGGGCGAGAGCGUGGAGAGCGAA
rnacentral:rRNA from 1 species